CAUAGUGUGGCUCAACUUAUAGCAGCACAAUGAGCCAUGGGUUAUGUUUUCAGAAGUUCUAGCAACAUAUGUGGCCCAGCAGCUCUGCUUCUUUCCAAAGCUGCAGGGAGCCUCUGGUCGUGUUCUUCUACUGUUUUUCCACUAAAUCAAAACAUUAUAGGUGAACUGGGGAAGGCUGAGAUUCUGCCUCUGCAAACAAACGAGAG